UACGUAGGUGGCAAGCGUUAUCCGGAUUUAUUGGGCGUAAAGGGAACGCAGGCGGUCUUUUAAAUCUGAUGUGAAAGCCUUCGGCUUAACCGGAGUAGUGCAUUGGAAACUGGGAGACUUGAGUGCAGAAGAGGAGAGUGGAACUCCAUGUGUAGCGGUGAAAUGCGUAGAUAUAUGGAAGAACACCAGUGGCGAAAGCGGCUCUCUGGUCUGUAACUGACGCUGAGGUUCGAAAGCGUGGGUAGCAAACAGG
rnacentral:rRNA from 1 species